UCAGAAUCCAGGGAGUAGAGACCACCAAAUCAAGCAUGAGGCUGUAAACGCAAAACCAUUCAAAACACUACACCAGGAAAAAAGAGGUUAACAACUCAAUCCAUAUGCCCCCAUGAUCAAAUUCAGACAGAACCUAGAAACAAAACAAAGGUAUUCCAUCGAAGAAAAAUUACAUUAUCUAUACUUGUUAGCAGUUCUAAUCUUCUGUAUGAAGAAUGAAUGCAAAAUUGAUACUCCAGCAUACUGCAAUAUGAACAUCACCAUUAUCAAGAAAACAGUAAAAGGAGCAGUAGAAUUUCUCCAAACCAAUCAAAGAGUCAACCAUACCUUCGCAUAGCGAAGAGCCUCUGAGCAAUGGGGUACGAAGUUUUUUUAAUCAAAGAGUCAACCACCCAAUCACACUGUCCCAAAUUCUUCCUGUGACAUUGUAACAAUCCCCAAAUGCAUAAUACUUUGAUUGUUCCUGUUACAAACCCACACAAGAACUCCCACACUAACAGAGGGGUUAUUAUACUUACACCGACAAACAACUAGAUCAAAUUCCAAAAUAAACUGGAUAGGCAUAGCCAGUCCAAAACAAACAAACAAUAAAAUGAUGAAUGCAAGGGUAAUAAAACCUAAGGCUUCACACAGAAAUCUUCCGCCACACAGCUUUUCCACAGCCUCCCAUGCCAGUCACAUCCGUUGCUUAUCUUCCCUGUAAGACCCAAGCGCAAGUCACAGCAAAUUAAACCUAGAAAACUAAGUGAAACAUUGAAACAAAGAGACAAAUCCAAGAAUAUUCAACAAGUCGACACCACCAAACCAUUGACGAGGUGGCUUCACACUACGCAGAACAUUACACGAAACUAUUCCGAACACUACGCUGCAGAAAACAGGUUCACAAUUCAAUCCGUGUGUUUCGUGAUCAAGUCCAGGGAAAUUAAAUAGAGGAAAAUCAAAGAAGAAAUUAGGUUAAUCGAGAACAGUUAGCCGUUUAAAUCCACCGUAUCAGGCAUGAUAUCUUUUUUAUAUUUUAAUCUUCAAUCUGACACAGUAAUCUUAACGUGCUGCAAACCGAUGAAACACAAACAGUUCAACUCCAUCAACUAUUAGAUAGAUGAUUAUCCAUGACAAAAUGAAGAAUGAUGCUCUAUAAUUCAAAUAAUUGACUUAAAAAGUCACUAGACUAUCAAUUUCUUAAGAUCUUCAAUUCCAAUAAAAGUGCAUCAAUCGGAAAAACACAAACUCGAUUAAGAUGGGAACAAGCAAGAAGCAUAACAAUCCACUUAAUAGAAAAUGAAAAAUAGAACCAAGAGAAAUAAUUUCCAAAGAUGAAAGAACACAUUGACCCAUAAUUGCAGAGAUAAAUACAGCUCUCAGUAACCAUUGGAAAAGCAAAAAUCAAAUCCAAGAUUCAGAAUCCGGAGUAGAGAUCACCAAAUCAUGUAAUAAGACAGCCGUUCACUGAUCUUCCCAGAGAGAGAUCUAAGAAAAAAUAAUGGAGAAGUAAAUCUAGAAAAGCUCAUACCAAAAGUAGAAACGAAAGGCAGAAUCUGAUAAAUCAGAAUCCAGGGAGUAGAGACCACCAAAUCAAGAAUGAGGCUGUAAACGCAAAACCAUUCAAAACACUACACCAGGAAAAAAGAGGUUAACAACUCAAUCCAUAUGCCCCCAUGUUCAAAUUCAGACAGAACCUAGAAAAAAAACAAAGGGAUUCCAUCGAAGAAAAAUGAUGAAUGCAAGGGUCAUAAAACCUAAGGCUUCACACAGAAAUCUUCCGC
rnacentral:lncRNA from 1 species